GAUAAGAACGUAGCGAAAUGCGAUAAGUAAUGUGAAUUGCAGAAUUCCGUGAAUCAUCGAAUCUUUGAACGCACAUUGCGCCCCCUGGUAUUCCGGGGGGCAUGCCUGUCCGAGCGUCAUUGCAACCUUCAAGCGCGGCUUGUGUGUUGGGUCUCGUCCCCCGUGGACGGGCCCGAAAGGCAGUGGCGGCGUCCCGACAUGGUGCCCGAGCGUAUGGGAAUCCUCUUCCGCUCGAAUCGGCCCAUGCGGCGCUGGUCGUAACCAAAUUUUUUACCGGUUGACCUCGGAUCAGGUAGGGAUACCCGCUGAACUUAAGCAUAUCAAUAAGCGGAGGA
rnacentral:misc_RNA from 1 species